UGUGUGCAGUAAACAGUUUCAUGUGAGUC
rnacentral:piRNA from 1 species